GUGAAUGCGGGUGCUAUACAUGCAAGUCGAGCGCGGGAAGCGAGUGGAUCCCUUCGGGGUGAAGCUCGUGGAACGAGCGGCGGACGGGUGAGUAACACGUGGGCAACCUGCCUGUAAGAUCGGAAUAACCCCGGGAAACCGGGGCUAAUGCCGGGUAAUACUUUCUUUCGCAUGAAGGAAAGUUGAAAGAUGGCUUCUCGCUAUCACUUACAGAUGGGCCCGCGGCGCAUUAGCUAGUUGGUGAGGUAACGGCUCACCAAGGCGACGAUGCGUAGCCGACCUGAGAGGGUGAUCGGCCACACUGGGACUGAGACACGGCCCAGACUCCUACGGGAGGCAGCAGUAGGGAAUCUUCCGCAAUGGACGAAAGUCUGACGGAGCAACGCCGCGUGAACGAUGAAGGUCUUCGGAUCGUAAAGUUCUGUUGUUAGGGAAGAACAAGUACCGUGCGAAUAGAGCGGUACCUUGACGGUACCUAACGAGGAAGCCCCGGCUAACUACGUGCCAGCAGCCGCGGUAAUACGUAGGGGGCAAGCGUUGUCCGGAAUUAUUGGGCGUAAAGCGCGCGCAGGCGGUUCCUUAAGUCUGAUGUGAAAGCCCACGGCUCAACCGUGGAGGGUCAUUGGAAACUGGGGAACUUGAGGACAGAAGAGGAGAGUGGAAUUCCACGUGUAGCGGUGAAAUGCGUAGAUAUGUGGAGGAACACCAGUGGCGAAGGCGACUCUCUGGUCUGUUUCUGACGCUGAGGUGCGAAAGCGUGGGUAGCAAACAGGAUUAGAUACCCUGGUAGUCCACGCCGUAAACGAUGAGUGCUAGGUGUUAGGGGGCUUCCACCCCUUAGUGCUGAAGUUAACGCAUUAAGCACUCCGCCUGGGGAGUACGGCCGCAAGGCUGAAACUCAAAGGAAUUGACGGGGGCCCGCACAAGCGGUGGAGCAUGUGGUUUAAUUCGAAGCAACGCGAAGAACCUUACCAGGUCUUGACAUCCUUGGACAUCCUAGAGAUAGGACUUUCCCUUCGGGGACCAGUGACAGUGUGCAUGUGUCGUCAGCUCGUGUCGUGAGAUGUGGGUAGUCCCGCACGAGCGCACCCUAUCUAGUUGCAGCAUUCAGUUGGCACUCUAAGGUGACU
rnacentral:rRNA from 1 species